GACGGUUUGGCCGAGUGGUCUAAGGCGCCAGAUUUAGGCUUUGCUCCGAAAGGGCGUGGGUUCAAAUCCCACAGCCGUCA
rnacentral:tRNA from 1 species